UUCUCCAGGUUUGGCUGCCCCGACGCUGGAAGUCUGCCAGUUUUCCCGUGGGUCUACACUGAUCGAGGAUAUUCCCCUAAAUCUCUAGAUGUGUCCACGCUGAACAGGGAUGGCUUCCUAAAACCCCAGCUGUGUCUAUCCUGACCCGGGAUGUGUCCCAGAUUUUCAAGGUGUGUCCAUACUGAGGUGUGGUGUCCUCUGGUUUUGCAGGAGUGUCUACGCUGACCUUUUCGUUCACAUAAAACCCCAGCGGUGUAUGUCUGAGCGGGGAUCUCUCCCUAAUUCCUCAGGCAGGCCUACCCUGCAUCGGAAUGUCUCACUUUCCCCGUGUCCAGCUGACCUGCGAGAUCUCCCUGGUCUCCCAGGCAUGUCUACUCUGAUCUGUGGUCUCCCUAACCCCGCAAGUGUGUCCCCUCUGACCUGGGUUGUCUCCCUGCUUCGUUUUCAGUGUCUGCCUUGACACGGUGUAUCUCCCCGGUUGCUCUCACGUGACCGAGGUGUCCAAUUCCACGGUGAAUCUACGACCUGGGACGACCCGUUUCCCCACGUAUUUCUACUCCGACCAAAGAGGUCCCCUUGGCUCCACAGGGGUGUCUGCUCUGAGCUGGGAGGUCUCAUUCUCCAGAUUUCUCUCUCGGGGCCUUGAAUGUCUCCGCUCUUCAGGACUGGCCAGCGUAUCCUGGGACGUAUGCCUUUGUCCUUCGCCGUGUCUACUGUGAAUCUGGAGGUCUCGUUCCUCAGGUGUUCUGAUCUGUGAUGUCUCUAAGUCCCCAGGCGUGUCUGCAUUGAUUACAAUGACCCUUUAAUGCACCAGGUAUGUCUACCCUUACCGGGAUAUCUGUUUAAUAACUCAGAUGUGUCUACACAGAUGGGGCAUGUCUACUUUCUUACAAAGUGCUGUCUGUCCCUGUCCCAGCAGGAAAUACAGCACCCGGAGGUUCAGAGGAAGACACAAGACAUGUGACAGAAGGGGCUCCUUUCGGAGGAUCCAGCAGGGAAGUUAAGAAACCAGACAGGAGCCCCCGGGAGCUGCUUCCCUGGGCCUGAGAGGCAGGGAAGGGACAGCGCUGCAAGAUCGGGAGAGAUGGCAGGGCUCACAGGCUCGGUGGCCCUGGGCUGUUGACCAGAGUUCCUGCCCCUGGCACAGCCCGCAGGGAUGACCCAGCCUCUCUCCCCACCCCCAGCUCUGGGGGCUCCCGCGGGUGGGGCCUGACCACAAGGCAGGAGGCUCUCGGGAAGGAUUAUCUGCUCGGAUCCCAAGAUGAGCCAUUACGAGAGUCUGCUGCUUGAGCGGAACGCCUCUGGUCUGCAGAGAAACGUAGUUUUGCAAAGCGCCAGAUCUCAAGACCUGGGGCUUGGCCGCUCUCCAGGGGCGGGAGGCCGGCCCCCCAGGGAGAGACGGGGUCGGGGAAGGGACCCCGCCGCAGAGCUGACCGCACGAGCAGGCGCAGGUGGCUGUGGUGUCCCCUGGGCGGGCCGAUGCCGGGGAGGCCACACGGGGGUCACUUCUCCCUCGCGGCCGCCGUGCUCACGAACUACAAGUACCUCGUAAACCCCUAGGAGUGGGAUCGCUGGGCCACAUGGGUCUUUCCGAGACUCCCCUGUGUUUCCGUGGGGGAUGUUCGUCUCCCGCGCCCACCGGCAACGCGCUCGGCCGUCGGCGUCACAUCCUGGGCGUCACGUCCCGGCCGACGCUCGCUGUGCUGCGCUUCUGAUGGUUGUGGGACCUCGCGAUUGUCCUGUGUCCCCUGGUGAGGAGUGAGGGGAGUUCCAGUCGGGCGCUGACCGGCCAUCUGUGCGUCGUCUCUGGAGACAGACUUGGCCCAUUUUUUAAUGGGAUCGUUCCUUUGUCGCUGAGCAGUUUUUACAGAUCCUGAGUGUUGGCCCCUCAUCAGGUGAGGGAG